rnacentral:other from 1 species
UAAAUCCUGCGUUGUGCGUGGUGUCACUCAAGUGGCUUAAGGCCCGUUAAACCCACAUCUCUUAUAAGGGAUGCCGAUAUGAGUCUGCGGAUUGCAGGCCUCCCGGCUUGUGCCGGAUGUUGGAAGCAGCGAAACAGAACUGAGGCAACCCACCUGCCCAAUCGUGCAGGUUAUAAUCGGGCCCCAACGGCAUUCGCGGGAUUUCC